UGACUAAUUUGGUACUUCAAC
ensembl:piRNA 21ur-1155 ncRNA